rnacentral:ncRNA from 2 species
GGAUUCCCGUCGAGUAAGAACUAGCCAUUCGCUCGUAGCGAGUCUUGGAGGGCUAAAGGUAACUUUAAUCUUUAAGCGUAGACAGUUAGGUGGCGGAUUUGCUUUACUGAUCGUUCUAUUCAUCCUGUUAAUCAUUAUAGGAUGUAGUUGUUGGGGCGGCGGAUUCGGUUACUAAAAAAGGGGCACUCAUAAGAGUGUCUUUUUUCUCAAUAUAAGAACU